rnacentral:rRNA from 1 species
UACGUAGGCAGCAAGCGUUGUUCGGAGUUACUGGGCGUAAAGCGUGCGUAGGCGGUUCGCUAAGUCGGUUGUGAAAUCCCUGGGCUUAACCUGGGAACUGCAGUCGAUACUGGCGAACUAGAAUGCGGUAGAGGGUGGCGGAACUCCGGGUGUAGCGGUGAAAUGCGUAGAUAUCCGGAAGAACACCGAUGGCGAAGGCAACCACCUGGGCCUGCAUUGACGCUGAGGUACGAAAGCGUGGGGAGCAAACAGG